rnacentral:rRNA from 1 species
UACGGAGGGUGCGAGCGUUGUUCGGAAUCACUGGGCGUAAGGCGCACGUAGGUGGUCUGUUAUGUCAGAUGUGAAAGCCCUCGGCUUAACUGAGGAAGUGCACCUGAAACUGGCAGGCUUGAGUACGAAAGAGGGUCGCGGAAUUCCCGGUGUAGAGGUGAAAUUCGUAGAGAUCCGGAAGAACACCGGUGGCGAAGGCGGCCUGCUGGGCAGUUUAGCUGACACUGAGGCGCGACAGCGUGGGGAGCAAACAGG